UUCACUCGGAGUUCACAUCUACCGCAUCUUCUUCUUCUUAUCCAUUUACUCACCACAUCGAUCUCUCAGAAAAACCCUAAAAUUCCCAAAUCUCAAAUCCAGCUCAUUUCUUCAUCUUUCACUUUCACCAGAAAUUUCGUGACAUCAUUCGAUCUGAGAAGAAAAUAGACAAACACUAGCCAUCAACUAAAACCUAGUAAACCAAAUCAAUCACUCUCCAUCCCCACCUCUCUCUCAAUCUCUCUUAUAAUCUGUCUAAUUAAACAACAAAAAUAGCACAGAAGAUGUAUCGGAAAAAUAAUUAGAGGAUGUUGAUGAAGACAGAAAUCGUAAGGGAUGAUUUUUCUAUCUUAUGGUUAGGGUUCCUUUCUUCUUUCAAUUUUUCUUACAAUCCUUAGAGUUCUUAUCGAGAAAAUAUGAUGACCACAAGUAUAUAAAUCUUGUGAAAUAAUGAAAACGGGGGUAUGUUAGAAUAUAUGGUUCUGGACUUGGAGAAUUUUUAUUAAAGGCGGAUCUUCUUAGAGCAGUGGUCGAUCUGGGAUUGAGCAUAUCUGCUACGAGUUUGAGCGGUUCAGCACUUACCCUACCUGAUACUAAAUUUUUUGUGUUCAAUGGUAGUUUAAGCAUCAAUACCCACGAGGAAUUACUAAAUAAAGAGUGCCUCAUGUUGAUACUUAAUUACACAUGGUUUGGCAGAGCAUGUUAAUUUGGUACGAAAGGGCUUGCAAUUUAAUUGGUCACUUCAUGUGUAGGUUCAAGAGAGGCUUGAAGUAAAAAUAAUUACGCUGAUAUUAAAGAACAGGUUCUGAAAAUUUGCUUCAACUGAACUGAGUUCUGGAUCUACAGCAGAAAGAACGAUAGAGUUGAUACAGUAGUCAAAGCUUGUUGCGAGUCAAGAUAAAAAAAAGUCAUGGUAAAUAGAUUUUGAGCAUCUUGGCUGUCAGAGGAAGAUUCUCACUGAUGAACUGAUGGUAGAACCUUUCUCCUUAGUUGUGCCAAUUUAUUAUGUGAAGCUUGCAAUAUGAAUAUAGGUUAAGGUUCUCCAACUUAGUGUUAGAAGUUUUUCAGACUUGCAGUAUUUUGUUAGUU